GACCAUUUGUUUUGAAAGCACUCAUCGUCCAAAUGAAAACUUGAAUAUCGUGAAAUCCCUGUAAACUAUCCUCGGUUUACAGGACUACAACUUUAAAAUGCAAUUUGUAUUCUCUCCUCUGAACCGCAAAAUCGACUGGCGACAAUUAGGUAUGUACGGUAGGCACAAAAUAACAUUGAUGAAACUAUAAAUCAGAGUUAUAAACAUGGCGCCCUCGAAAUUAUAGGUGUGCCUGUAAAACCAAACUGACUGAAACAACCAGUAAAUUAGUUAAGAUUCAAAAUGAACCUGAUACAAGCAAUUUGUUGGUUCGUUUAACGAAUUUGUUUUUACCAUAUGCAUGCAGUGGUUAGGUUAAACAAUACUUGCAGCAUUUCAGUACGACUGUACAGUGUUGGUCUUAACUAUUUCAUGUUUAGCUUUGUAUAUAUUUACCAAAAGAACACCCAUGCAUGCAUCAUGCUCAAUUGAGACUGAUCAAAAAUUUUCACAUAAAAAAGUUCAGCCCACGAAAUCCCUCAAAUGAUGUGAGAUCUCGAGUAUCCAGCUUAUACAAUGUUUGGAAAUAUUCUGAAUUCAGAUGCAACUGAAAGUAUUAUUUUGUGCUUCAGCUUUCAUUGAUAUCGAGAAGGUGAUUGAUGAUGUUGAUCUUCAUGUUCUGGUGGAAAAUUUGGCGAAUAUUAGUCUUUGUGAUAUUGCACAGGAAAUGGU